UUCGCAAUGCCCGAAAGGGUGACGAAGCGACGCCGCGUGUGGGAAGAAGGCCUUCGGGUUGUAAACCACUGUUGGGAGUUAGGAAGUGCGAAGGUGUUAAUAGCGCUUUCGCUUGACUAAAGCCCCAGAGGAAGCCACGGCUAACUCUGUGCCAGCAGCCGCGGUAAUACAGAGGCGGCAAGCGUUGUUCGGAAUUAUUGGGCGUAAAGAGCACGUAGGCGGCUCUGCAAGUCAGCUGUGAAAGCCUUCUGCUUAACGGAAGAACGGCAGUUGAAACUACAGGGCUUGAGUGCGGGAGGGGAGAGUGGAACUUCUGGUGGAGCGGUGAAAUGCGUAGAUAUCAGAAGGAACGCCGGCGGCGAAAGCGGCUCUCUGGUCCGUAACUGACGCUGAGUGUGCGAAAGCUAGGGGAGCAAACGGGAUUAGAUACCCCGGUAGUCCUAGCCGUAAACGAUGGGCACUAAGUAGAGGGGUUUU
rnacentral:rRNA from 1 species